rnacentral:rRNA from 1 species
GACGAACGCUGGCGGCGUGCUUAACACAUGCAAGUCGUACGGUAAGGCCCUUUCGGGGGUACACGAGUGGCGAACGGGUGAGUAACACGUGAGUAACCUGCCCACAACUUUGGGAUAACGCUAGGAAACUGGUGCUAAUACUGGUUAUGUGCUCCUGCUGCAUGGUGGGGGUUGGAAAGCUCCGGCGGUUGUGGAUGGACUCGCGGCCUAUCAGCUUGUUGGUGGGGUAGUGGCCUACCAAGGCGGCGACGGGUAGCCGGCCUGAGAGGGUGACCGGCCACAUUGGGACUGAGAUACGGCCCAGACUCCUACGGGAGGCAGCAGUGGGGAAUAUUGCACAAUGGGCGCAAGCCUGAUGCAGCAACGCCGCGUGCGGGAUGACGGCCUUCGGGUUGUAAACCGCUUUCAGCAGGGACGAAGCUUUUUGUGACGGUACCUGCAGAAGAAGCACCGGCUAACUACGUG